rnacentral:lncRNA from 1 species
CAGCAACAAGUAACAUGUUGUUGCUACUCCUAAAUAAAGGAAGGAUGCUGAAUCAUAGCUUGACAAUGAAACUUUAUUUACUUUUUGUCAAGACAAAAUAAUUUAUGAAGAAGAAUAGGGUACCAGUGUCUGACAACCCCAGUGUGGAACGCAUAGAGGAGGGUGACUUCAUGGCAGAGGGUCUUGGAGGCCUACAGUCACGUUCAAAGGCUGACCUGGUUGCCAUGGUGCUGAGCAUGCAGCGAGAGAUGGACAACAUGAGGGAGCAAAUCAGAUGCCUCACAGCGUGUGGAAAGUUGGCACGUAACCUGGAGGCCCUGAUUGAGAGGACGGAGGUGUGGUCGAGCAGCACGGACCGCAGAACUACAUCUCCCAGCAUGCCUGAGAUCCUGGUGAGGAGUGGUGCCAUGACAACGUCGGCCCUGCUGGCCUCUCCAGGGGUGCUGAACGGGUGCUGGGCAGCCAAACUAGAGCCCCUCCACCCCCACCAGAAUGGACAACCUCCUGGGUCUCAUGAGGGGGGUUCCCAGAUCAACGGACCACCUCUCUAUCAGGAGUUCAUCACUGCGGAGCUGCUUGACCGCUGUAACACGGGGACCACUGCCCAGAAGCUGACCAAUGACCUGCUCCGGGGCCUCUAUGAAAGGGACUGCCUGGCCUCUCACUCCAUCUCCGGCAUCGUCAACAACAAGAGGGGCCAACCCAAGCCUGCCCUGCCUGCAGACGAGAUCCAGGCAAUACUGAGGGCGGUGCAGCACUACUUCCCAGGGAAGACAGACUCGGAGAUCAAGGGCUACAUCCGCCAGAAGCUGCAGAACGAAGCCAAGCGGCUCCGCAAGAAGCCUCAUCUGGCCGUGAAGGUGGAGCCAGAGGCCGGGGCUGAGGGGGCGGAGACUACUUUCUACACCUAAGCGGUGUGGCCCCGCCGAACCCCACCCCCUGUUCCACCCAGGGAGUGAAGUGCCCCGCCUCUGUCCAGGUUAAAGUGCAAUUAUGGGAGGGAGACUCGCGUAAAAACUGCUGUGAGAGGGAACCAAAAUGGAGCAGCCUUAUCAACACCAGUCUAGUCUAUCUGUUUGUCUGUCCAUUCCCAGCCACGUCUCUGGGCUGGGGGAGAAAUAGGCUAGUGAGGGAGGAGUCUAUUUGUCUGACAACGUGAUCAUUCCAGGGGAAGUGUUAUGGACUCCAGUCUGAUCAAGACUAGUUACUGCUCAGGUGAAGUUAGAUGAUACUGUAGCUUAUUCUUCCUCUGCCCUCUGGCAUCGUUGUCAAGCCUCAGCCAGCUAGCCAGCCAGCAGUAGUAGGCCUAGUAGAUGGCAAGUGAUUUGUUACCAAGUUUAGUACUCUUGUUUCUGUGAAAGGGGUAGCAGUCAGUUGGUGCUCUAUAGAGAAGUCGUAACAGAAGUCCUGAACAGCAUAGCCGUCAGCGAAGCUGCGCUGCACUCUGUGUCACUUCAGUUUGAUUUACAGUAUUGUCAUUGACCUCGUGAAAUGAACCUAGCCUUAGUAUUGAAUUAAUUUCAAUUUUGCUGAAUAAAAAAAUGACUGUUUUUUUCCCAAA